CCUACGGGGGGCAGCAGUGGGGAAUAUUGCACAAUGGGCGCAAGCCUGAUGCAGCCAUGCCGCGUGUGUGAAGAAGGCCUUCGGGUUGUAAAGCACUUUCAGCGGGGAGGAAGGCGGUGAGGUUAAUAACCUCAUCGAUUGACGUUACCCGCAGAAGAAGCACCGGCUAACUCCGUGCCAGCAGCCGCGGUAAUACGGAGGGUGCAAGCGUUAAUCGGAAUUACUGGGCGUAAAGCGCACGCAGGCGGUCUGUCAAGUCGGAUGCGAAAUCCCCGGGCUCAACCUGGGAACUGCAUUCGAAACUGGCAGGCUAGAGGCUUGUAGAGGGGGGUAGAAUUCCAGGUGUAGCGGUGAAAUGCGUAGAGAUCUGGAGGAAUACCGGUGGCGAAGGCGGCCCCCUGGACAAAGACUGACGCUCAGGUGCGAAAGCGUGGGGAGCAAACAGGAUUAGAUACCCCGGUAGUC
rnacentral:rRNA from 1 species